AGAACGAACGCUGGCGGCAUGCCUAAUACAUGCAAGUCGAACGAAGGCUUCGGCCUUAGUGGCGCACGGGUGCGUAACGCGUGGGAAUCUGCCCCUUGGUUCGGAAUAACAGUUGGAAACGACUGCUAAUACCGGAUGAUGACGAAAGUCCAAAGAUUUAUCGCCAAGGGAUGAGCCCGCGUAGGAUUAGCUAGUUGGUGAGGUAAAGGCCUACCAAGGCUACGAUCAGUAGCUGGUCUGAGAGGACGACCAGCCACACUGGAACUGAGACACGGUCCAGACUCCUACGGGAGGCAGCAGUGGGGAAUUUUGGACAAUGGGCGCAAGCCUGAUCCAGCAAUGCCGCGUGAGUGAAGAAGGCCUUCGGGUUGUAAGCUCUUUGUCAGGGAAGAAACGGUAGGAGCUAAUAUCUCCCACUAAUGACGUACCUGAAGAAUAAGACACCGGACUAACUACGUGCCAGCAGCCGC
rnacentral:rRNA from 1 species